rnacentral:rRNA from 3 species
CGGACGGGUGAGUAAUGUCUGGGGAUCUGCCCGAUAGAGGGGGAUAACCACUGGAAACGGUGGCUAAUACCGCAUAACGUCGCAAGACCAAAGAGGGGGACCUUCGGGCCUCUCACUAUCGGAUGAACCCAGAUGGGAUUAGCUAGUAGGCGGGGUAAUGGCCCACCUAGGCGACGAUCCCUAGCUGGUCUGAGAGGAUGACCAGCCACACUGGAACUGAGACACGGUCCAGACUCCUACGGGAGGCAGCAGUGGGGAAUAUUGCACAAUGGGCGCAAGCCUGAUGCAGCCAUGCCGCGUGUAUGAAGAAGGCCUUCGGGUUGUAAAGUACUUUCAGCGGGGAGGAAGGC